AUUGAACGCUGGCGGCAGGCUUAACACAUGCAAGUCGAGCGGAGAUGAGGUGCCCGCACCUUAUCUUAGCGGCGGACGGGUGAGUAAUGCUUAGGAAUCUGCCUAUUAGUGGGGGACAACAUUCCGAAAGGAAUGCUAAUACCGCAUACGUCCUACGGGAGAAAGCAGGGGAUCUUCGGACCUUGCGCUAAUAGAUGAGCCUAAGUCGGAUUAGCUAGUAGGUGGGGUAAAGGCCUACCAAGGCGACGAUCUGUAGCGGGUCUGAGAGGAUGAUCCGCCACACUGGGACUGAGACACGGCCCAGACUCCUACGGGAGGCAGCAGUGGGGAAUAUUGGACAAUGGGGGGAACCCUGAUCCAGCCAUGCCGCGUGUGUGAAGAAGGCCUUAUGGUUGUAAAGCACUUUAAGCGAGGAGGAGGCUACUGAGACUAAUACUCUUGGAUAGUGGACGUUACUCGCAGAAUAAGCACCGGCUAACUCUGUGCCAGCCGCCGCAGUAACAC
rnacentral:rRNA from 1 species